AGAGUUUGAUCCUGGCUCAGGACGAACGCUAGCGGCGGGCUUAACACAUGCAAGUCGAGCGCGAAAGUCAUCUUCGGAUGAUUAUUAGAGCGGCGAACGGGUGAGUAACACGUAGGCAAUCUGCCUUUUGGUGGGGAAUAACUUAUCGAAAGAUGAGCUAAUACCGCAUGUUGUUUGUUGUUCACAUGGACGACAAACCAAAGCCUUCGGGCGCCAAGAGAUGAGCCUGCGUCCCAUUAGCUUGUUGGUAGGGUAACGGCCUACCAAGGCUACGAUGGGUAGCUGGUCUGAGAGGAUGAUCAGCCACACUGGGACUGAGAUACGGCCCAGACUCCUACGGGAGGCAGCAGUGAGGAAUAUUGCGCAAUGGACGAAAGUCUGACGCAGCCACGCCGUGUGUGGGAUGAAGCCCUUGCGGGUGUAAACCACUGUUAGGGGGAACGAGCAUCAUGUUUUUGACAUGGUUCGACGGUACCUUCAAAGAAAGCUCCGGCUAACUCCGUGCCAGCAGCCGCGGUAAUACGGGGGGAGCGAGCGUUGUCCGGAAUCACUGGGCGUAAAGCGCGUGUAGGCGGGAUAGUAAGUCAGAGGUGAAAUGUCGGAGCUUAACUCCGAACCUGCCUUUGAAACCGCUAUUCUUGAGUUUGGUAGAGGGAAGCGGAAUUCCAGGUGUAGCGGUGGAAUGCGUAGAUAUCUGGAAGAACACCGGUGGCGAAGGCGGCUUCCUGGCCCAAUACUGACGCUGAGACGCGAAAGCGUGGGGAGCAAACAGGAUUAGAUACCCUGGUAGUCCACGCCCUAAACGAUGAUCACUAGGUGCUGGGGGAUUCGACCCCUUCAGUGCCGUAGCUAACGCGUUAAGUGAUCCGCCUGGGGAGUACGAUCGCAAGGUUGAAACUCAAAGGAAUUGACGGGGGCCCGCACAAGCGGUGGAGCAUGUGGUUUAAUUCGAUGCAACGCGAAGAACCUUACCUGGGCUUGAACUGUAGUGGAAACUUUCUGAAAGGAAGGCCUCCUUCGGGACUACUAUAGAGGUGCUGCAUGGCUGUCGUCAGCUCGUGUCGUGAGAUGUUGGGUUAAGUCCUGCAACGAGCGCAACCCUUACCGUUAGUUGCCAUCAGGUUAUGCUGGGCACUCUAGCGGGACUGCCUGUGUUAAACAGGAGGAAGGCGGGGAUGACGUCAAGUCCUCAUGGCCCUUACGUCCAGGGCUACACACGUGCUACAAUGGGUGAUACAAAGGGUCGCAAUACCGCGAGGUGGAGCUAAUCUCAUAAAAUCACCCUCAGUUCGGAUUGCAGUCUGCAACUCGACUGCAUGAAGCCGGAAUCGCUAGUAAUCGUGGAUCAGCACGCCACGGUGAAUACGUUCCCGGGCCUUGUACACACCGCCCGUCACACCAUGGAAGUCGGGAGUACCCGAAGUCGCUGAGGAAACCCGCAAGGGAUCCAGGUGCCUAAGGUAAGUUUGAUGACUAGGGU
rnacentral:rRNA from 1 species